UCCUACGGGAGGCAGCAGUGGGGAAUAUUGCACAAUGGGCGCAAGCCUGAUGCAGCCAUGCCGCGUGUAUGAAGAAGGCCUUCGGGUUGUAAAGUACUUUCAGCGGGGAGGAAGGGAGUAAAGUUAAUACCUUUGCUCAUUGACGUUACCCGCAGAAGAAGCACCGGCUAACUCCGUGCCAGCAGCCGCGGUAAU
rnacentral:rRNA from 1 species